rnacentral:rRNA from 1 species
GAUGAACGCUAGCUACAGGCUUAACACAUGCAAGUCGAGGGGCAGCGCAGUGUAGCAAUACAUGGGCGGCGACCGGCGCACGGGUGCGUAACGCGUAUCCAACCUUCCCGUUACUCUUGGAUAGCCUUCCGAAAGGGAGAUUAAUACAAGAUGGUAUUCAAAUUCCGCAAGUUAUUUGAAUUAAAGAUUUAUCGGUAACGGAUGGGGAUGCGUGACAUUAGAUAGUAGGCGGGGUAACGGCCCACCUAGUCUACGAUGUCUAGGGGUUCUGUGAGGAAGGUCCCCCACACUGGAACUGAGACACGGUCCAGACUCCUACGGGAGGCAGCAGUGAGAAAUAUUGGUCAAUGGUCGGAAGACUGAACCAGCCAAGUAGCGUGAAGGAUGAAGGUUCUAUGGAUUGUAAACUUCUUUUAUACGGGAAUAAAACCUCCCACGUGUGGGAGCUUGUAUGUACCGUAUGAAUAAGCAUCGGCUAACUCCGUGCCAGCCGCCGCCGUAACAC